rnacentral:rRNA from 1 species
UACGUAGGUGGCAAGCGUUGUCCGGAUUUACUGGGUGUAAAGGGCGUGCAGCCGGAGAGACAAGACAGAUGUGAAAUCCACGGGCUCAACCCGUGAACUGCAUUUGAAACUGUUUCCCUUGAGUGUCGGAGAGGUAAUCGGAAUUCCUUGUGUAGCGGUGAAAUGCGUAGAUAUAAGGAAGAACACCAGUGGCGAAGGCGGAUUACUGGACGAUAACUGACGGUGAGGCGCGAAAGCGUGGGGAGCAAACAGG